CCCUUUGUCGCUAAGAUUCG
rnacentral:snRNA from 1 species